GGCUCACAUGACUCAGUGCAUGCUCUUUGCAAUUAAGCUCCUCUUCACGGAGGCUGCUUUAGUUCUGCUUUGGUUUGGCUGGUGUCCAUGACAUGCUAUUUGCUACCUUUUUCUAAUAGUUUGCCUAUACUCUUUUUUAAAUUGUUCUACAACUUUUAGGGAGAAUCUAGAUACCUACAACUCUAUUCUGCUUUGUGGUCUAGGAAUAGAAGCUAUGUCUGCUAAGAAGCAGGAGCAAAAUGGUUGCUGAGCACCCGAGGAACAGAUUUCUUGAGUUGGAAUCCUUCCUCUGCACUUUGCUCUUGGAUCCCAGACAACGUGACUGAACCUGUUCUGUCUCCACUUCCAGUAACACAAGAACAAUGGCAGCAAAAGAUUCGGGUCUUCCAGAGAGGCCUUCCUCAACCAGUCCCUUGCCCUCUCAUCUCACACUGUGUUUCCGCAGAAUUUGGCCUGGGAUAAUCAUACAGACUGUGUCCCUCCCAAAGAUUGACAGUUUUAAGUACUGCAUGAUACUGCUUGCCAACUAGAGAUCAUUCCACAGACCAAAUUCUAAGAGCGAGGAGGCUUCACAAUAUCUAACUUAACAAAGAAGAAAUAUUUCCAUAAUGCUGUACUUCGCGGAAAAAGAAGGGUGGUGACUCCAAUCAAUUUUCAUUCAGAAGUCUCUUGUUUCUAACCUGACUAUUUAUCCACCCAUCCCCAAGGCAAUGAAUAUCACAUACCAAUGUGUAUACAAGUGAGUUCGCCUUGAAUGGAAUCGCAAUACAUAUUGGGAAUGGAAUUUUCUUUUCCUCAUCUGAGCAUUCAACAAUGAUGACGUUGCUGACCAACUCUUCGUUAUCACUCACUAUAAAGGAACUCAGGCUGUUAACUAUGUGGCAGUCCACCUGCUGCAGGACAUGCAAUGGGGCAGUGAUGUAACAAGACACUUGAGGGUCAGCUCCAUCACUCAGCAUGUCAAGAUACCUGCAGGGAGAAAAAGUGAGCUUCAUUUUCAACUACUCUAUUCUUGCACUUUAUAGGUAAAUGCAGACGGUCACAACUUUUGAGGCACAUUGCUUGAUGUGAACUUUAGCUUUCCUAUUCUUUUUUUAAAUCUUUGUAGUCAAAUAUCACAAUUUCCUCUAAUAUGGGGUGAAAAUGAUAUCCACUUCGCAGGAAAACUUUGUGUUAAAUGUAUUAUUCUACAGGAAUUAUCAAGAACUACGCCCUCACAUUGUAAGAAAUACUGUAUUAACUAUAUUAGCUAAGAAGAUAAACUAUGAUUGUUUUUGACUAAUUUUAUUAUCAGUAUUGUUACUUUAUUCCUCACUAUUAUUCAUCAUAUAAUAAAGUAAAAAUAGAUAAUGUUUUUAAAGAAAUGAAUGUAACUGUGAGGAGAGUCUUUAUGGGUACGUCCUCUAAUAUUGCAAGAAUGGAUUCUUUUUCUGGUGAUUUGAAAGUGAAAGACAGAAAAGAGAGAAGUCCCAGCAGUCAUCCAGUUUUACUUAAAGCAAAAUUACACAUACAUGUGCAUGCACAUAAACCCCACAAAAAUAAAGACAGAGACAGAGACACAGAUAAAGACAGUCAGACAGAGAAAGACAAAAGGAGAAACAGAGAGAUAAAGACACACAGAGAGAGGAUUAAAAAUGGUGCAGAGUGUAUUCAGACUCUAUACGAUUAGGGGUGGGGUGGAUUCCCUUUCUUCCUAAGAACUGACUGGUUUGGGAUAUUGCAGGACCCUGAAUAACCCAGACAAAGAAGAAAAGCUAACUGCUCUCUUUUACAGGCUCACCCCUGACUCCCCACCUCUCUUGGAAGACUUGAAAAUUCUGAACAGUUCCUUUUGUAGAGAAAAAGGGAUCUGUAUGACUCCAACCACCUCAAGAAGAAGUAAUGAAGAUGAAGUACAGAAAUUGUUCAGCGUCCCGUGAUCAGUGAGCAAAGUACUUGCUAAAAAACAUACACAUGGUGAUGUUUUCCUGGGAACGGCGCUGUGCAUCUAUAUAGUGGAUCAGCAGCAUGUUAUGGAUCCAGAUGAGAACAGAAAAGAGGAGGGAGAGGAUUGUGAAAGUAGCUGGGCAUUAUGUCAAAUAAUACGCGAACAUUUAGCUUAGUGUGAAAUAUGACUGAGUGACUCAACGCUAGGCCCCUCUGUGAUUGUCUCAUUUGCUAUCAAAUGCUCCACGGAAGGAGAAAGUACUCUUAUAAAUGAGAAACUGAGACCAAAAAACAAACACACAGGUAAAAAGAAAGAAAAAGAAAACACAAGUUGCCCAGUGACAAAAAACCGACUCAUAAGGAGACAGCAAAUAAAAAUAAAUUUUUCCCUGUUCCCUAAAUAUUUUCUCACUAUAACACAUUGCUAAGGAAGAUUUUGUAUUUAUAUGGGAAAACAUAAUUAGAAAUUAUCAGUUUAUACAAAUCAAGAAUUAUUGUUACCUUACAGUUGGGAGGGGGAGAUAGCUCAUAUAAUACAUCAGUCUUUUUCUCCUCUUUAUUCCAUGCGCUUUUAAAGAAUUUAGUAAGAAAAAGAAAGACUUCUGAAAAUUUUCUGACCUAAAUAGUUAUGAGCAUCACAUUUGCCUUUAAGAAUCCUGAAAAGCCUACCCACAAAUCUCCUGGAGCUCUGAAGACAGAGUUUAAAGACUGAUGACAAUUAUCUUGAAGAUAUCCAUAAUAUGUGUUUUAUAGUUAUGACAUAUGUAUUUAUUAGUUACAUAAUCAUGUUAGAAAAUUGUGUUUUAAUUUUUUUAACAUUCUGAAAUCUCUUUCUUCUAUUAAAAUUGAAUUUUGUUUAGAAAAGUG